CGCGUAGGUGGUAGUGCAAGUCUGGGGUGGAAUCCCAGGGCUUAACCCUGGAACUGCCUUGGAAACUGUAUUACUUGAGUCAGUGAGGGGAGGGUAGAAUUCCUGGUGUAGCGGUGAAAUGCGUAGAUAUCAGGAGGAAGGCCUGUGGCGAAGGCGGCCCUCUGGCGCUGAACUGACACUGAGGCGCGAAAGCGUGGGGAGCAAACAGGAUUAGAUACCCUGGUAGUCCACGCCCUAAACGGUGGGUACUAGGUGUAGGGCUCGUAAGGGUUCUGUGCCGAAGCGAAAGCGUUAAGUACCCCGCCUGGGGAGUACGGCCGCAAGGUUGAA
rnacentral:rRNA from 1 species